rnacentral:rRNA from 1 species
GAUGAACGCUGGCUACAGGCUUAACACAUGCAAGUCGUGGGGAAACGGCAUUAUGUGCUUGCACAUUCUGGACGUCGACCGGCGCACGGGUGAGUAUCGCGUAUCCAACCUGCCCCUUACUUGGGGAUACCCCGUUGAAAGACGGCCUAAUACCCGAUGUGUUUCAUUGACGGCAUCCGAUAUGAAACAAAGGUUUUUCCGGUAAGGGAUGGGGAUGCGUCUGAUUAGCUUGUUGGCGGGGCAACGGCCCACCAAGGCGACGAUCAGUAGGGGUUCUGAGAGGAAGGUCCCCCACAUUGGAACUGAGACACGGUCCAAACUCCUACGGGAGGCAGCAGUGAGGAAUAUUGGUCAAUGGACGCAAGUCUGAACCAGCCAAGUAGCGUGCAGGAUGACGGCCCUAUGGGUUGUAAACUGCUUUUAUGUGGGAAUAAAGUGGCGCACGUGUGCGCCAUUGCAUGUACCUCAUGAAUAAGGACCGGCUAAUUCCGUGCCAGCAGCCGCGGUAAUACGGAAGGUCCGGGCGUUAUCCGGAUUUAUUGGGUUUAAAGGGAGUGUAGGCGGUCUGUUAAGCGUGUUGUGAAAUUUAGGUGCUCAACAUUUAACUUGCAGCGCGAACUGUCAGACUUGAGUACACGCAGCGCAGGCGGAAUUCAUGGUGUAGCGGUGAAAUGCUUAGAUAUCAUGAGGAACUCCGAUCGCGAAGGCAGCCUGCGGGAGUGUUACUGACGCUUAAGCUCGAAGGUGCGGGUAUCGAACAGG